GUGAACGAUGAUGCAUACAUGUCAACUAUGGGUGUUGGCUCGAACAAUUUGCAUUGGUCUCAAACCAAUGACAUGCAUUUUGAAGACCAUGAGUUCGAGGUGGAUGAGGAUGGUGAGGGCAUUGUCGACGCACAUAAAGGAAGAGGAGGCAACUACACCAACGACGAAGACGUUGUGCUAUGCAAAACUUGGUUGGACGUGUCGAGGGAUCCAUCCGUUGGAAGUGAUCAAAGUAGAGAUGCUUAUUGGCUCCGGAUGAAAAAACACUUUGAUCUUCGCAACAUGAGUGCAAUUGACCGCUCCGCACGAUCAUUUCGCUCCCGGUGGUCGACCAUCAAUAGGGGUUGUCAACAAUGGGCGGCCGCACAAAAAGCGGUUGACAAGUUGAACCCAAGUGGCACCAAUGAUGAUGAUAGGGUAAGUGUCAUUUCAUCCAUCAUUCCUCAUGUUCACAUCAUGCUUGUUGUUGGUGUUUCUUGUGCUAACUUGUUUUGUUUUCAUGUAGUUAAAUAUUGCACAAAACUUGUUCAAAGGAGAGGAGAAGAGGACCAAGAAGGGGAAGAUCAAGAAAGGAAGGCCAUUUACCUUGCCUCAUUGCUAUGA
rnacentral:rRNA from 1 species